CAGGCAACAGAGGAAAAAGAAAAUGGCAGUGGGCAGUGGCGGCAGGUCACAAAACGGCCUGAGGAGGCGGCCUGGCCUGGCCACCAGGAGGAGGAGGUGGGAAGCGGCAACAGGACGGCCUGGCCCUGGCCUGCCCAGAUUGUUUCCAACAGUAUCUCCAGAUUAUAAAUGUUCCUCAACAGCUGGCUUUGAUCUCAUCUGCUUCAGCUUGCAACAUAUUAACAUCAAACUGCAGUGAUGAAAAACCCAUUGCUUCAGCUAUUUAAAACUCUAUUGGACAACGCUAGAUUGGUUAGAUACCCAGGAGGAAAUAUAACUCUGAACUGACCAAGAGGAAUGGUUGAAAUCAACUAGCAGCACCAUGACCCACAAGCCAAGACAGAAAAGGCAACCUUCAAGAACAAAUAAGCCAGGGAACAAGAGACCCUUCCAUACUUCAAAGAAUCUUAUAAAUUACAGGCACAAAGACUUGACACUUUCAAGGCCAACACAUUCUGGAGAGCUUUAUGUCUCAGGUCCUCUCUCAUCUCAUUUCAACACAUUAUCAGAGAGUGUCAGCAGAUACCAGAUAGCUACACAGUUGAGGGGGAGGUGAAACCAUCUUUUCUCAUAAAUAAAGAUUCUUGGUUCUCUCACUCUACAUGCCAAGGAUGGAGAAAGCUG